rnacentral:rRNA from 1 species
ACACGUAGGGGCCUGACGUUGUUCGGAAUCAUUGGGCGUAAAGGGCGCGCAGGCGGCCGUCCAAGUCCGGUGUUAAAUGGUCGGGCUCAACCCGAUCAUGCGCUGGAAACUGGGCGGCUGGAGUCCCGGAGGGGAUGCCGGAAUUCCAGGUGUAGGGGUGAAAUCUGUAGAUAUCUGGAAGAACACCGAUGGCGAAGGCAGGCAUCUGGCCGGAGACUGACGCUGAGGCGCGAAGGCGCGGGGAGCGAACAGGUUUAGAUACCCUGGUAGUCCGCGCAGUAAACGAUGCGCACCAGGUGUCGGGCGGCAGCGCCCGGUACCGGAGCAAACGCGAUGAGUGCGCCGCCUGGGGAGUACGGCCGCAAGGUUGAAACUCAAAUGAAUUGACGGGG